AUACGUAGGUGGCAAGCGUUGUCCGGAAUGAUUGGGCGUAAAGGGCGCGUAGGCGGCCCGGUAAGUCUGGAGUGAAAGUCCUGUUUUUAAGAUGGGAAUUGCUUUGGAUACUGUCGGGCUUGGGUGCAGGAGAGGUAAGUGGAAUUCCCAGUGUAGCGGUGAAAUGCGUAGAGAUUGGGAGGAACACCAGUGGCGAAGGCGACUUACUGGACUGUAACUGACGCUGAGGCGCGAAAGUGUGGGGAGCAAACAGGAUUAGAUACCCUGGUAGUCCACACUGUAAACGAUGAAUGCUAGGUGUAGGGGGUAUCGACCCCUUCUGUGCCGCAGUCAACACAAUAAGCAUUCCGCCUGGGGAGUACGGCCGCAAGGUUGAAACUCAAAGGAAUUGACGGGG
rnacentral:rRNA from 1 species